UGGGGAAUAUUGCACAAUGGGCGCAAGCCUGAUGCAGCCAUGCCGCGUGUAUGAAGAAGGCCUUCGGGUUGUAAAGUACUUUCAGCGGGGAGGAAGGGAGUAAAGUUAAUACCUUUACUCAUUGACGUUACCCGCAGAAGAAGCACCGGCUAACUCCGUGCCAGCAGCCGCGGUAAUACGGAGGGUGCAAGCGUUAAUCGGAAUUACUGGGCGUAAAGCGCACGCAGGCGGUUUGUUAAGUCAGAUGUGAAAUCCCCGGGCUUAACCCGGGAAUUGCAUCUGAUACUGGUCAGCUAGAGUCUUGUAGAGGGGGGUAGAAUUCCAUGUGUAGCGGUGAAAUGCGUAGAGAUCUGGAGGAAUACCGGUGGCGAAGGCGGCCCCCUGGACGAAGACUGACGCUCAGGUGCGAAAGCGUGGGGAGCAAACAGG
rnacentral:rRNA from 1 species